AGAACGCACGCGAUUUGCAUCGAAAUCUUGCGAACGACGAACGUCACACUUUCAUCCACCAAAUUUUGAGACGAUUGUUGCGACGCAGCGGCGUCUAUGGCUACGACUAUGGGGCCAGGAAGGAAGCGCGUCUUUGACGGUAAGCAAUAAAUUUUAGCAUCUUGAUACUUCUUCCUCAAAGUGUUUAUGCUACGAUGUAUAUGCAUCUGUCACUGAUUCAAGAGGAAACAUCAAGAUCAAAGUAAUUAUAUACUCCGCCAUCGAAGCGAGGCUAUAAAUCAUGGCCUCCCGAUGUGAUGGAAUCGGCGAUCGAAUACAUGAGCGCGGGACGACUAUCCCCACGAUGUUGGUUUAUCCCUACGAUUGUGGAUUACCUCAACAAGGGUGGUCGACUGCAGCUCUGUAUAAUCUAUGACGGAAGUAUGCGGCCAAACGCCAAAUAUGAUAGAGUCGAAAUAUCAAAUUGAUCUUGCUCCUUACCGGGAGGCAUGCUCAAUCAUUCAUCUACAUCGACUCUUACAGGGAGGCGUCCAUACAAUAUAUCCAUCAUCGAUCUUGCUCCUACACGAACGCGAGAUUAACAUAUUUGAGAAGCAUCAUCCAACAUGCAUAUGUGAUAUUAUUUUACAUUGACACCUUGGCCAAGUGUCGACGAGACAAUGGCUACAUAUCAUUACCAUCAUGUCUAAGCUGACGAGGCUAGACAAAAUCAUGGCCAAGUGCCGACGAGGCUAGGUCACCAUUAUUAUCGACAUGUCCCAAACCUACGGGAUCAGACACAUUGUUGCUUGGCACCGACGAGGCGAUAGCAACACAUGCACAUGUCCGUGUCCGAUGAAGUCAGGGCGUUACAUGACUGGGCACCGACGAGGCGAAAGUCAUCCCCUUCAUCGACAUAUCUUGUUGGUCAUACCAACAUCGCGAUAGUAUAAGUGACUGGAUUUCGGCGAAACAAAGCCACCCGCACACAUAUUUUCCAUGAAUAUCACAUGCAUAUGGAUGAGCAAUCCAAACAUGACGACGACCAUCAGUGCAGCUUAAUCGGAGGUAUUCUGCGGGGCUUGACCCUGCGGAUGUAAUUAACCGGAUGCUUGCAAACGCACCGGGAAUCAAUGAACUACGCAAUCUCCUAAGUCAGAUACUCCAUGAGCGCGACGUAGAAGGCAAAAAGGAUAUAGUCCUAUUGGAACAUGCAAUAUGUAUUUGUACAAUGCAAUGAUAUGAAUAAAAUGCAGUGUUCCUCA